GACGCCGUGGCCGAGUGGUAACGCUCACGACUUUGAUUCGUCAGACCGUGGGUUCGAGGCUCUUCACGGUCUGACGUUA